UAAUUUGCAUGCCCUUUUAAUUAUCAAUUUUCUAAUUUGCAUGCCAUUUUAAUUAGGAAUUAGGGUCAGAUUUUUAAUUAGGAUCAGAUUUUUAUAAUUAGGGUCACAUUUUUAAUUAAGGUGUAGCUGUGCAGAUUUUUAUCAUACUUCUAUUUUUAUAAAUUUAGUAAUUGCAGUAGAUUUAGUAAU